UAGGGAAUAUUGGGCAAUGGACGCAAGUCUGACCCAGCCAUGCCGCGUGCAGGAUGACUGCCCUAUGGGUUGUAAACUGCUUUUAUACGGGAAGAAACCUUCGAUCGUGAUCGAAGCUGACGGUAUCGUAUGAAUAAGGAUCGGCUAACUCCGUGCCAGCAGCCGCGGUAAUACGGAGGAUCCAAGCGUUGUCCGGAUUUACUGGGUUUAAAGGGUGCGUAGGUGGACUUUUAAGUCAGUGGUGAAAGCCUGUAGCUUAACUAUAGAAUUGCCAUUGAAACUGAAAGUCUUGAGUACAGUUGAGGUGAGCGGAAUGUAUCAUGUAGCGGUGAAAUGCUUAGAUAUGAUACAGAACACCGAUUGCGAAGGCAGCUCACUAAACUGCAACUGACACUGAGGCACGAAAGCGUGGGGAUCAAACAGGAUUAGAUACCCUGGUAGUCCACGCUGUAAACGUUGAAUACUCGAUGUGUGCGAUACACUGUACGCGUCUAAGCGAAAGCGUUAAGUAUUCCACCUGGGGAGUACGAUCGCAAGAUUGA
rnacentral:rRNA from 1 species